UACAGACACUGUGGCCUGCAGGUGGUGGAUUCAGCAGAGCUACAGACACUGUGGCCUGCAGGUGGUGGAGUUCAGCAGAGCUACAGACACUGUGGCCUGCAGGUGGUGGAGUUCAGCAGAGCUACAGACACUGUGGCCUGCAGGUGGUGGAGUUCAGCAGAGCUACAGACACUGUGGCCUGCAGGUCCUGGAGUUCAGUAGCGCUGUUUUCUCAAUAGUUUCCAGAUUAUCCCCAGUUUUGAAAUGCUUUGAGGUUUUGCUCUUGACUGGUGCUGACCCUGCGCUUCGGUUGGUUUGA